rnacentral:rRNA from 1 species
UACAGAGGUCUCAAGCGUUGUUCGGAUUCAUUGGGCGUAAAGGGUGCGUAGGUGGUGCUGUAAGUCAGGUGUGAAAUCUCGGGGCUCAACCCCGAAACUGCACUUGAUACUGCAGUGCUCGAGGACUGGAGAGGAGAUUGGAAUUCAUGGUGUAGCAGUGAAAUGCGUAGAUAUCAUGAGGAAGACCAGUGGCGAAGGCGGAUCUCUGGACAGUUCCUGACGCUGAGGCACGAAGGCCAGGGGAGCAAACGGG